rnacentral:tRNA from 1 species
GGGGAUUUAGCUGAGCGGCAUAAGCGCCUGCCUUACAAGCAGGUAGUGAGUUCGAUCCCUG